rnacentral:rRNA from 1 species
UAGGGAAUCUUCCACAAUGGGCCAAAGCCUGAUGGAGCAACGCCGCGUGUGUGAUGAAGGGUUCCGGCUCGUAAAACACUGUUGUAAGAGAAGAAUGACAUUGAGAGUAACUGUUCAAUGUGUGACGGUAUCUUACCAGAAAGGAACGGCUAAAUACGUGCCAG